AAAUGUGUUUUACAUGGAUGGCUC
rnacentral:siRNA from 1 species